rnacentral:lncRNA from 1 species
AAUGAUAAGAUGUUAUUUACUUAAGCUCUAGGCAAUUACAAGUAAAGCAGUGGAAAAUUAAGCUAGAGCAAUUAUACUAUGGCUUUAGGGUGCAAUUGAUCUAAAAUUAACUUAUAGUUGUAUGAUCAAUUUUAAUCUAUGUGUAUGGUAAGAAUGGAGUGGAAGCUAAGCAAAUUCUAAACAAUCACUUAUAACUCUAUAGAAAACAAAGCUAGAGAUAUUACACAAUCAAGUAUGAAUAUAAGGCAUGAAAUACAAGAGAUAAGGCAUCACAAACACAAAGAUGUAUAGUGGUUCGGUGCACCCCAGCACCUACAUCCACUCUCCAAGACCUCUUGGAAAUUUUACUAUAAUCCCCCAGAUUACAGCCGGUUAUUUUACAAGCUCACAACCUAACUUGUUGUUUUCACGAGAUCACAACGAACUCAGUCGGUUUUCACAGGCUCACCGACUAGAACCAACCGAUUGUUUUUCCGGGUUCACAAUCAAACCCAGUUGGUUUUUCCGGUUCACCAACCACAACCUUACACCGUUGGUUUUCCUUUGGCUCACCAACAAACCUUAACCCCUUGAUUCAAUCCCUUGAUUGAAUCAAGUUACAAGAUAUUAGAACAAGAGUUUAAACAAAUACAAGCUUCUUAAACAAGCAGAUAUAACAAUAUAAACAAAUAGAGUAAAGAGAAGAAACCCUCAAACA